AUUGAACGCUGGCGGCAUGCCUUACACAUGCAAGUCGAACGGUAACGGGCCUUCGGGUGCCGACGAGUGGCGAACGGGUGAGUAAUACAUCGGAACGUGCCCGAUCGUGGGGGUUAACGAGGCGAAAGCUUUGCUAAUACCGCAUACGAUCUACGGAUGAAAGCAGGGGACCGCAAGGCCUUGCGCGGACGGAGCGGCCGAUGGCAGAGUAGGUAGUUGGUGGGGUAAAAGCUUACCAAGCCGACGAUCUGUAGCUGGUCUGAGAGGAUGAUCAGCCACACUGGGACUGAGACACGGCCCAGACUCCUACGGGAGGCAGCAGUGGGGAAUUUUGGACAAUGGGCGCAAGCCUGAUCCAGCCAUGCCGCGUGCAGGAUGAAGGCCUUCGGGUUGUAAACUGCUUUUGUACGGAACGAAAAGCCUUCUUUUAAUACAGGAGGGUCAUGACGGUACCGUAAGAAUAAGCACCGGCUAACUACGUG
rnacentral:rRNA from 1 species